rnacentral:rRNA from 1 species
UACGUAGGGUGCGAGCGUUGUCCGGAAUUACUGGGCGUAAAGAGCUCGUAGGUGGUUUGUCGCGUUGUCCGUGAAAACUCACAACUCAAUUGUGGGCGUGCGGGCGAUACGGGCAGACUGGAGUACUGCAGGGGAGACUGGAAUUCCUGGUGUAGCGGUGGAAUGCGCAGAUAUCAGGAGGAACACCGGUGGCGAAGGCGGGUCUC